rnacentral:lncRNA from 10 species
UGGGCAUGUCUUAUGGAAAGCUGCUUCUGCCCUGGCCCCAUUUUAGCUAAUCCUCAAUUUGGUCCACUGUCCAAGCCCCACCUGCAGAGUCAAGUCCCUCCUCCCACCUCAGCACUGCUAGAAAAGAGCUUCAGGAUGGAGCCACACAUGUCACUCAAGCCCAAGGGUCAGUCAACAGCCCACAGCCCUAAAUUCAUCUGUGUCCAAUGCCAGACCCUGCAACUGCUGAUUUACAUGAAUCAACUCCAUCAUGCAAGCCUCAUGACAUCCCAAUGAGACGCAGGUGCUUUUGCAGUCAUGUGACUGGACGUGGGCUAGGACUCUGUUGUCCGUGGCUGGAGUCCAUAGCUGAGAACAAAGAAGGAAAAACUUCAGGAGGACACUCCCAGCCCACAGCACGGCACAUCAAAGAUCCCAGAUGCCACCUACGUGACAGGCAGAAACGCUCGCGAGCUUUGCUUGCUCAGCCAGUUUUUCUGCUCCUCAAGUCUGGACGAAAGCAGCAAGAAAGAGAGAAAGGACUUGGUAGAAGCCAAAGAGAAAGGACUUUGCCUUCUGCCUAUUGGUGGGGGCUUCCCUCUCCUCCUCCAUGACUGGUUCCCUUGCCCCCUCACCAUGAAGACAAGUGAGAAUGUCUUCAAAACCUGGGGACAGAGGCUGGGUGCGGUGUCUCUCACCUGUGAUCCCAGCACUUUGGGAGGCUGAGGUGGGCAGAUCACUUGAGGCCAGGAGUUCAAGACCAGCCUGGCCAACAUGGAGAAGUCUCAUAUCUACUGAAAAUACAAAAAAUUAGCUGGGCGUAG